GGAACCGAGAAGGUCGCUGGCAGCCGACUCCAUCUCAUCCACUGUCAUGUGGCACGCGUCGGCGAUCUCCCGCUUUGCAAAUGCCACAAACUUUGGAUCCCGAGCGUAAAGACCGAGACCCUCUGAGAUCAGAACCUGCCGGAGAAAAACAAAACGGGGAUAAACAUCUGACUCUGUUUGACACACAGUUACUGAUCAGUGAUCAAUCAGCGAUCAAGCCUCACCGCCUCCACCAGACUGUCAGCUGACCCUCUUUUCUCAGUAAACGGUGCUCCAAGGGGCCUGCGAGGACAUAUCACAUACCUUCAGUUUUGAUUUUGAGGGCAGUGCGAACCAGAGCGAAUAGCGUGGCAUUAAAGGUUACCAUCCCGUCGGCGUUCAGAGGCAUGUUCAUUGCUACCAGACGCUGAGAUGGAGAGGAGGCGACUCUGUGAGGGCAAAGCUUCCCAAAACCCAGAGGAGGCUGAAUCCUCCGGAGCAGAGCAACAACGUCCAGGUGUUUUAUCCGUCCUCUGGGAACAAAGAACCAUCAGGAAUUUUCUGAUCAUCU